rnacentral:rRNA from 1 species
UCGAACAGACCUAAAUAUUUUAGCUCCUACACCAAAAUUUUAUUUUAAUCCAACAUCGAGGUCGCAAACUCUCCUUUCGAUAAGAACUCUCAAAGAAAAUUACGCUGUUAUCCCUAAGGUAGUUUAAUCUUUUAAUCUAAAUAAAUAAGGAUCAACUAAUCAUAAAUCAAUGUAAAUAUAAAAAAAAAGUUUAUCAAGUUUUUUAAUCGCCCCAAUCAAAUUAAACAUUAUUUAAAGAAAAACUAUAUUCUGAUAUUUCCCAAACAAAUAUUAAUAAAACUCUAUAGGGUCUUCUCGUCUUUUAUUCAAAUUUAAGCCUUUUUACUUAAUAAUAAAUUUCUAAUAAAAUUUAAAUAGAGACAGUCACUCCCCCAUCCGACCUUUCAUACAAGCUUUCAAUUAAAAAACUAUUUAUUAUGCUACCUUUGCACGGUCAAGAUACCGCAGCCAUUUAACUACUCAUAGGGCAGGCCAGACUUUAAAUUAUAUUCAAAAA